CCGUCCACAGGAGAUGACAUAACUCCUGACCCAACCGCCGCCGUGGCUGAUGAUGCCUACCAUAUG
rnacentral:ncRNA from 2 species